GAUGAACGCUGGCGGCGUGCCUAAUACAUGCAAGUCGAGCGAACGGACGAGAAGCUUGCUUCUCUGAUGUUAGCGGCGGACGGGUGAGUAACACGUGGAUAACCUACCUAUAAGACUGGGAUAACUUCGGGAAACCGGAGCUAAUACCGGAUAAUAUUUUGAACCGCAUGGUUCAAAAGUGAAAGACGGUCUUGCUGUCACUUAUAGAUGGAUCCGCGCUGCAUUAGCUAGUUGGUAAGGUAACGGCUUACCAAGGCAACGAUGCAUAGCCGACCUGAGAGGGUGAUCGGCCACACUGGAACUGAGACACGGUCCAGACUCCUACGGGAGGCAGCAGUAGGGAAUCUUCCGCAAUGGGCGAAAGCCUGACGGAGCAACGCCGCGUGAGUGAUGAAGGUCUUCGGAUCGUAAAACUCUGUUAUUAGGGAAGAACAUAUGUGUAAGUAACUGUGCACAUCUUGACGGUACCUAAUCAGAAAGCCACGGCUAACUACGUGCCAGCAGCCGCGGUAAUACGUAGGUGGCAAGCGUUAUCCGGAAUUAUUGGGCGUAAAGCGCGCGUAGGCGGUUUUUUAAGUCUGAUGUGAAAGCCCACGGCUCAACCGUGGAGGGUCAUUGGAAACUGGAAAACUUGAGUGCAGAAGAGGAAAGUGGAAUUCCAUGUGUAGCGGUGAAAUGCGCAGAGAUAUGGAGGAACACCAGUGGCGAAGGCGACUUUCUGGUCUGUAACUGACGCUGAUGUGCGAAAGCGUGGGGAUCAAACAGGAUUAGAUACCCUGGUAGUCCACGCCGUAAACGAUGAGUGCUAAGUGUUAGGGGGUUUCCGCCCCUUAGUGCUGCAGCUAACGCAUUAAGCACUCCGCCUGGGGAGUACGACCGCAAGGUUGAAACUCAAAGGAAUUGACGGGGACCCGCACAAGCGGUGGAGCAUGUGGUUUAAUUCGAAGCAACGCGAAGAACCUUACCAAAUCUUGACAUCCUUUGACAACUCUAGAGAUAGAGCCUUCCCCUUCGGGGGACAAAGUGACAGGUGGUGCAUGGUUGUCGUCAGCUCGUGUCGUGAGAUGUUGGGUUAAGUCCCGCAACGAGCGCAACCCUUAAGCUUAGUUGCCAUCAUUAAGUUGGGCACUCUAAGUUGACUGCCGGUGACAAACCGGAGGAAGGUGGGGAUGACGUCAAAUCAUCAUGCCCCUUAUGAUUAGGGCUACACACGUGCUACAAUGGACAAUACAAAGGGCAGCGAAACCGCGAGGUCAAGCAAAUCCCAUAAAGUUGUUCUCAGUUCGGAUUGUAGUCUGCAACUCGACUACAUGAAGCUGGAAUCGCUAGUAAUCGUAGAUCAGCAUGCUACGGUGAAUACGUUCCCGGGUCU
rnacentral:rRNA from 1 species